UACGUAGGGUGCAAGCGUUGUCCGGAAUUAUUGGGCGUAAAGAGCUCGUAGGCGGUUUGUCGCGUCGAAUGUGAAAACCCGGGGCUCAACCCCGGGCCUGCAUUCGAUACGGGCAGACUAGAGUUCGGUAGGGGAGUCUGGAAUUCCUGGUGUAGCGGUGAAAUGCGCAGAGUAUCAAGGAGGAACACCGGUGGCGAAGGCGGGACUCUGGGCCGAUACUGACGCUGAGGAGCGAAAGCGUGGGGAGCAAACAGG
rnacentral:rRNA from 1 species